rnacentral:rRNA from 1 species
GACGAACGCUGGCGGCGUGCUUAACACAUGCAAGUCGAACGGAAAGGCCCUGCUUUUGUGGGGUGCUCGAGUGGCGAACGGGUGAGUAACACGUGAGUAACCUGCCCUUGACUUUGGGAUAACUUCAGGAAACUGGGGCUAAUACCGGAUAGGAGCUCCUGCUGCAUGGUGGGGGUUGGAAAGUUUCGGCGGUUGGGGAUGGACUCGCGGCUUAUCAGCUUGUUGGUGGGGUAGUGGCUUACCCAGGCUUUGACGGGUAGCCCGCCUGAGAGGGUGACCGGCCACAUUGGGACUGAGAGACGGCCCAGACUCCUACGGGAGGCAGCAGUGGGGAAUAUUGCACAAUGGGCGGAAGCCUGGUGCAGCAACGCCGCGUGCGGGAUGACGGCCUUCGGGUUGUAAACCGCUUUCGCCUGUGACGAAGCGUGAGUGACGGUAAUGUGUAAAGAAGCACCGGCUAACUACGUG